rnacentral:SRP_RNA from 1 species
GCUGGGCACGGUGGCGCGUGCCUGUAAUCCGAGCUGCUCAGGAGGCUGAGGCACAAGAAUCACUUGAACUCAGGAGGUGGAGGUUGCAGUGAGCCUAGAUCAUGCCACUGCAUUCCAGCCUGGGUGACAGAGUGAGACUCCGUCUCAA